CAGGUGAGACACAGGUGAGACAGAGACAGGUGACACCGGCACAGCAGGGCCCCAUGAACAUCUCCCCGUUCUCAUCGGGGCCGUCCUGCACCUCCACCUGCACAGGUGAGACACAGGUGAGACAGGACAGGUGAGACAGGCAUAGCACGGCCCCAUGGACAUCUCCCCGUUCUCAUCGG